UUAGGUGAUGGGUGCUUUUCGUCAUUGCCUCCAAUACCACUGAAAUUAGGGAAUGGACAUCCACAACUUCUGAUAACACUGUCUUGAAGAAGGAAAAGUAUCUAAAUGAACAUACUUUAUAGCAGAAACUACAAUACUUCUAGAAGAGGUGAAUAGUGAAUGCCUUGCAGGAGGAGCUGCAGUGGGCAAGUGAGCUUCCUGGAGAUGACCCACCAUUUUGCACAGCUAUGAUGGGUGAAUCCUGGAAAGGCAUGGCUCCAGGAGCUUUGCCCCAGCAUUGCUUCUGGCUGCUGAUGUACCUUCUCAUGCAUUUCAUUGCUAGACUAUUUUCAUAUGAAAACAGAAAACAGAAGUCUAGUGUACUUAUUCCCACAGAGCCUUCACAUUCUGAACAUAUUUUAAUCUUGUUUAUGGCAUAAAUAAAAAUGCAUCAUCACA